UAUUGAAGGUGAUGCCUGCCCAGUGACAACACGUUCAACGGCCGCGGUAUCCUAACCGUGCAAAGGUAGCGCAAUCAAUUGUCUCAUAAAUCGGGACUUGUAUGAAUGGCUUAACGAGGUCUUAACUGUCUCCUACAGAUAAUCAGUGAAAUUGAUCUCCCUGUGCAAAAGCAGGAAUAACCCCAUAAGACGAGAAGACCCUGUGGAACUUAAAAAUCAGCAGCCACUCCCAUAUAAGCUUCCUCCUACUGGACAUUCCCAUACCCGGGACCAUACUGGCACGCAUUUUUUGGUUGGGGCGACCUUGGAGCACAACAAACCCUCCAAAAAUAAGACCACCCCUCUUAACUAAGAACAACCAAUCAACGUACUAACAGUAACCAGACCCAAUAUAUUUGAUCAAUGGACCAAGCUACCCCAGGGAUAACAGCGCAAUCUCCUCCAAGAGCCCCCAUCGACGAGGAGGUUUACGACCUCGAUGUUGGAUCAGGACAUCCUAGUGGUGUAGCCGCUACUAAGGGUUCGUUUGUUCAACGAUUAAUAGUCCUACGUGAUCUGAGUUCAGACCGGCCUGUGUGA
rnacentral:rRNA from 1 species